rnacentral:rRNA from 1 species
UAGGGAAUCUUCCACAAUGGACGAAAGUCUGAUGGAGCAACGCCGCGUGUGUGAUGAAGGGUUUCGGCUCGUAAAACACUGUUGUAAGAGAAGAAUGACAUUGAGAGUAACUGUUCAAUGUGUGACGGUAUCUUACCAGAAAGGAACGGCUAAAUACGUACCAG